rnacentral:rRNA from 1 species
AUAAUGGGUCAGCGACUUAUAUUCUGUAGCAAGGUUAACCGAAUAGGGGAGCCGAAGGGAAACCGAGUCUUAACUGGGCGUUAAGUUGCAGGGUAUAGACCCGAAACCCGGUGAUCUAGCCAUGGGCAGGUUGAAGGUUGGGUAACACUAACUGGAGGACCGAACCGACUAAUGUUGAAAAAUUAGCGGAUGACUUGUGGCUGGGGGUGAAAGGCCAAUCAAACCGGGAGAUAGCUGGUUCUCCCCGAAAGCUAUUUAGGUAGCGCCUCGUGAAUUCAUCUCCGGGGGUAGAGCACUGUUUCGGCAAGGGGGUCAUCCCGACUUACCAACCCGAUGCAAACUGCGAAUACCGGAGAAUGUUAUCACGGGAGACACACGGCGGGUGCUAACGUCCGUCGUGAAGAGGGAAACAACCCAGACCGCCAGCUAAGGUCCCAAAGUCAUGGUUAAGUGGGAAACGAUGUGGGAAGGCCCAGACAGCCAGGAUGUUGGCUUAGAAGCAGCCAUCAUUUAAAGAAAGCGUAAUAGCUCACUGGUCGAGUCGGCCUGCGCGGAAGAUGUAACGGGGCUAAACCAUGCACCGAAGCUGCGGCAGCGACGCUUAUGCGUUGUUGGGUAGGGGAGCGUUCUGUAAGCCUGCGAAGGUGUGCUGUGAGGCAUGCUGGAGGUAUCAGAAGUGCGAAUGCUGACAUAAGUAACGAUAAAGCGGGUGAAAAGCCCGCUCGCCGGAAGACCAAGGG